UACGGAGGGUGCAAGCGUUGUUCGGAAUUAUUGGGCGUAAAGGGCGCGUAGGCUGUUGUGUAAGUCAGAUGUGAAAUACUUCGGCUUAACCGAAGAACUGCAUUUGAAACUGCACAGCUAGAGUACAGGAGAGGGAAAUGGAAUUCCCGGUGUAGAGGUGAAAUUCGUAGAUAUCGGGAGGAACACCAGUGGCGAAGGCGAUUUCCUGGCCUGAUACUGACGCUGAGGCGCGAAAGCGUGGGGAGCAAACAGG
rnacentral:rRNA from 1 species